UAGAGUUUGAUCCUGGCUCAGAGCGAACGCUGGCGGCAGGCUUAACACAUGCAAGUCGAGCGCCGUAGCAAUACGGAGCGGCAGACGGGUGGGUAACACGUGGGAACGUACCUUUUGGUUCGGAACAACACAGGGAAACUUGUGCUAAUACCGGAUAAGCCCUUACGGGGAAAGAUUUAUCGCCGAAAGAUCGGCCCGCGUCUGAUUAGCUAGUUGGUGAGGUAACGGCUCACCAAGGCGACGAUCAGUAGCUGGUCUGAGAGGAUGAUCAGCCACACUGGGACUGAGACACGGCCCAGACUCCUACGGGAGGCAGCAGUGGGGAAUACUGGACAAUGGGCGCAAGCCUGAUCCAGCCAUGCCGCGUGAGUGAUGAAGGCCCUAGGGUUGUAAAGCUCUUUUGUGCGGGAAGAUAAUGACUGUACCGCAAGAAUAAGCCCCGGCUAACUUCGUGCCAGCAGCCGCGGUAAUACGAAGGGGGCUAGCGUUGCUCGGAAUCACUGGGCGUAAAGCGCACGUAGGCGGACUCUUAAGUCGGUGGUGAAAUCCUGGAGCUCAACUCCAGAACUGCCUUCGAUACUGGGAGUCUCGAGUUCGGGAGAGGUGAGUGGAACUGCGAGUGUAGAGGUGAAAUUC
rnacentral:rRNA from 1 species